UCAGCCAACGUUCUGGUUCGAGCAGCCUCAUCUACAGGUAGAGUAGCUCCUGUAGCAUUAGUAUCGGACUCAGGUAUUGCAGCCCCUUGAGCAUCUAUCCUCUGACCUGCUGCAUUACGCAGAUGACCCUCCUGGUCAUGCAGGUUUCCUCUGUCAUCUCGUACAAGUAUCAAAGUAGCAACCAUAUCUCGGGGCUCAUUAUUGAUCGAUGUUCGGACUGAAGUAUCGGUCGAUGUCGGAGGAAGAUGUCGGUCGACGGUAGAU
rnacentral:lncRNA from 1 species